UAUUACAUAUAAUGUCCGAAGAAUGUAAUCUACAAAGUACCACUAAAAUGUUACCAGUAUCCCUUGUCUUCGUCUUGAUGAUAUUAGUCGUGUAUACACAUGACGAUUAAUGUUUUAUUUUCAUUCAAUGUAGUAAGGUGACUAUUAUUGCUGAUUCAGUAAAAAAAAUCGUCCAAAUGUUAACCUUCAGGAAAUAACGCAACAAUCAAUUCAAUUCUGAAACAGCUCACAAACAGACACAACACUCGGAAGAGUUUCAGCCAAUCUAUGCAAAACAAUUACAAUGCCAGAUUACAAGAAAUACGAGAUAUGCGCAAUGAGAUAAAUCUUGCGUUAGACAAGCUUGACGGAAAUGGAUACUCUGAUGAAUCAACUGAAAGAUACCCUUAAGGCAGAUGCUGACAGCUGCAUCAAAAUUCAUGACGAGUUAAAGCAGGUUAGUGACAUUGUCCCGGAUGUUGAAAAAAGAGUAGCCACCUAGCUUGUGUAGCCUAUCAAAAGAGUCUGGACAAAAUAAGGGAAUCAGAAAGAUACAUGAAAGAUAACUCUGCGCAGACUAAAUUCAUGUUAAAAUUCCAUGGCAACACUGCGAGUGUACAGUAUUUUUCUUAACUAUCAGGAUUGGGUACACUAGUGCGUAGUGUACCUUUACUGAUUGGUGAAAUGAACACAGACAGGAAAAUUAAUAUCAGUUGGAAAAGGACUGACUGUAGCAUUUAAGUAUCAGGUGUGAACAAAAAUCAGUGUGACAUAAGAAGUAUUUGUUGUCUACUUGAUGGACAUAUUUAAUUGGCAGACUCUGAAAACAACAGACCAGAAUUACCGGCUGGUCAGUCAUUGUCCUGUGCCACCUAUAAUACAUGACAUAUGCCAUGUCGAUUCCCAUCAAGUUGCCGCUGUUCAUAGUAGCAAAUACAUGCAAAAGAUUCAGAUUUUAACUGUGGGUACAGGAAAGCUGGUGAAGGGUAUGGACCAUCAACUCAUACACUCAUGUUACGGGAUUGCCCACCAUCAGUGUAUCCUGUAUAUCACAUCCGCAAAUGCAUUAUACCAGUACACGAUGACGGGGACAAUGGUAGGAAAAGUGUACGAAAAUACAACAAACAACGAUUCAGUUUAUCAGUUUGAAUAAUGGGAAGCUAAGAGUCUACACGAAUCAUCCACUAUCGCACAGUUGUUACGGUAUCGCCAACCAUCAGGAUAUCUUGUAUGUCACCUCUGGUACUCCACUAUACCAGUACACGAUGACGGGGACAAAGGUGAAAAAACUGUACGAAGAUACCACUGGUACAUUCACAGUGUGCAAGUGUGCCGUUGGCUACGCUGGUGACAAAUUAUACGUGUCAAGCAACUACCACCAUAAACUCCUCACCCUGGCCAGUGAUGGUACAGUUAUGUCCGAGUUAAGUGAUUGUGCACUUCAACAUCCACAUACCGUUCACGUUACUACGUGCGGACAGGUUAUUGUCUGUGGACACACGUCCAACUCUUUUAUACAGGCAGACAGCAAGGGGCAGAAGAAAAUUGCCUCUCUGUUAACACAAGAAGGCGGAGUGGUAAAACCAUCAUCCGUCUGCUACAGGGAAAACACCAUAAUUGUAGGACUAUUGGAUAAUGAUCAAAUUUUAGUUUUUACAAUCAAAAAGUAAAAAAAAGGUUACAAUAUGUAAUCUAUGGAAAACACUUGUGAAUUUAUGCCCUAGCGAAUGUUUCUAUAUUUUUUGUUAGAUAUGUUAUGUGGUGCAUUUGAUUUUUGUUUUAUUUCCACAAAGCUAUGGUAUCCUUAGGAUGUCCCCGCAUAGUGCAUAAUGAUCGGGUAAUGUGUUAGUCUUUAAAUAAUAUUUUUGUCGAAUAACCCACGGUCAUGAGUAUGCGUUGGAAUCAACUCCAGACUGGUAACAAACACAACGCGAAGGUUUCUAUAGUUUACAUUUUGUGUAAAUGCUUAUAUAAAUUGUAUAAUAAAAUACAAUGUUUGUGUUUGAAUAUGUUAUAUCAGAACGCUACACUUUAAAGGCUGUUGCGCCAGUUUCGGCGAUUUUUUCCUCAAUUAUAGAUAUAUUUGCAAAUUUGUCUGAAAAAAAUCAACAAACAAAUACUCUAUGAAAAAUGUAAUUUAAACAUAGGGUCACUGACCUUGUUUUGAUUUUAUUUCCCAUUGCGCAACAUGCACUUUUGUAUUAAAACUGCUUAAUUUCAACUUGUGUCGAAACUGAAGAUAAUCACGAAUACAAGUUGAAACUGGCAAAGUUUCAGUAGUUAGUAAUCUUCAGCACACGGACUUAUAUUGAAUGAAAGAUAUGAAAUACACAUAAAAUGAAUUGAAUUUCAACAAUGUUAAGAAAUCGUGAUUUCCAUACGACCGAUAUAACCGAUAAAAAUCUUACUUUGGCAGUCACAUAAUUUAGAUUUAAAAAGUUAUAAAAAUAGAAUUGUGCCACUUUAUUUAUUGACGUCAAUUUAUGCUCUCGCAAUAAAACAAGAUUAAAAAAAUAUUGGUCCCCACAUUUUUUUGGAAUAAAAUUAAAUAUUUAGCAUUAUCUACAAGUCAUAGUUUACAAAAAACUGAAUUUCCACCUGCUGAACUACACAAUUUUGUGAAUUAAUGGACUUUUUUAGAAUAAAUAUAUAACUUGUUGAAGGUAUUAUAACAUUAAACAAAAAAAGAAACACUCCUACCCAUCCGCAAUAGUGUUUUCGAAUUAGUGUUCUUGUUGAAGUAUUACAUCCAAAUGUUUUCUAUGUUUUUUAUUUUACCAUAUAGAAAGUACAGUUGAAAAGAUGCAAAUAAAUAUUAACAAAAUCUUUUGAUAUGAAUUCAUUGAUUUUAAAUAGACCUAAAAUUGAUGGAAAAUACAUGAAAACAAGAGGUUUAACAUCACAACCAACAUACGCGCAGAGCAUAGCUGGAUCAAAUCCCUGACUUCAUAACCAACCACGUGGUGAAAUAAUUUUACCGUUGUUAUUUUUACUUUUCUUAAUUUUGGAUUUUUUUAAUUAUAAAACUAAAAUUAUACACCAUUUUCAAAAUGUAAAAGAAUACCACCAGCUGAAUUUUAUGUUCCGCGGGUUUGAUUUUGUUUAUUAGUAUAUUCUAAUUGUUUGUGUUAUUAUAUUUACGCAAGUGUAAAUUUACUUGUAUUCAUACUGGAUACGAAACUGCGUAAUUGUAGUUGUGUUAUGUAACAUAUCUAAUGUACUCACUUAUUUAAUAUAUUUGUGCAUAAUAUAUAUAAGAUAACCAAUUGCCAUUUACUGUCUGAUUGUUAAAUUUGGCGCCAAAUUUGCUUCAUGCAAAGUUCGUGAGCUAUUUCUAAUAUAAUUUAAUCAUUAUUAUGCACAUAGUAUUUGUUGAUGUUAGUUUAUUUGCCAUAAACGCUAAUAGCUGUUUGCCACUCUGUUGCACACACACUUUGAAAAAAAAAUCGAUUUUUUCCUGUCUUCAUUGUUUUGUGUUUACUCACCACUGUCAUGUAUUAUGUUAGAUAGAAUGUACAACUUUUACAACUGUAUACUCUUUUUCUUUUCACAUGACCUUUUGAUAUGUUUAUUAUUACAUGGUUUAGACUGACGAUGUACUAUGUACAAGUCGUAAUAAAAUUUCUGUUCUGUUCUUAUCUGAAAAUGUAUCGACACACCAAAGUCUGGAUUAUCUUAACUCAUACCUAUAUAUGAACGUGAUUGUCGUUGGGUAAUUGUAUUUACGCAUGUGUCUUAUCAAACAUUGGACUCUUCGAAAGACAGACUUACCAAAUAUUUCUGUAAACAUUCGAUAUUUGAAAAAGCUGUCCGGGAGAGCACAUUUAUCCAUUUAAAUGUCAAACACGAUUAUAUCGUACAAUGUAAAGAGACAAAUUAAAUUGGAAGUGAACAUUAAGUCUGACUUAGUUGGUCAGUUUCAGCAUUGAAUAUUAAUGGUGACACAUCGUGAACUUAACAGGUUGACAUUUCCUUUCUUUUUUCAACCCAACUUUAAUUUAAGGAAAAUAACUUUUUGUCGAAUAAUUACAAGAAAAAAUUAAGUGUUCCAUGUAGAACUACAUGCUAGACUACACUAAUGCAUUUAAACAAAUCGAAGGAAUUUUGAAAAUUAUCGGGUUUAAUAUUGAUUAAAAGUUCACGAACAUGUAUUGUAUGUACGAUGUUGAUUCGUGCAGAUAAGCUUUGCAAAUAAAAGACGCUAGUCUUAUUGAUAAACGUUCAUUAUGAUAUUAAGAAGUUUAAUACAUUUAGGAGUGUGUGGUCGUAUCUUAAACUGAAAUGUUGAGAUAUUAUU